ensembl:lncRNA
AUUUAUCUUUGGAGGGAUGCUUCAAAACUAUGUGAAUAUCAUGUGAAGAAAAGAGAACCCUUGUGCGCUGUUGGUGGGAAUGAAAAUUGGUACAGCCACAAUGAAAAUAGUAUGGAGAUUCUUCAAAAACUUAAAAGUAGAGCUUCCAUAUGACCAGAAAUUCCACUCCUAGAUGGCAGAUGGAUCCACUUUUUGGAGAGUGAACCUGACCCCGCCCUACCGGAAGUUGUCAUGCAAAGAAACCCUCUCUGGCCACGCCUAGAGUUCAGCACCACCGACGCGGACAGCGACACCGCCCAAUUUAGUCCCAUGACUCGCUGCAGAGAUUUUCACCUGACAAAGGAAUUGGCCAAUCCCAACUGGUUCCAAAGGCUGCGUGACUGACUAGUCUACAAUGCCAGAUAUGGAGGGGGAAAGCUCUUGAUUUGGGACAUAAAGGCUGGCAGAGGAAGCAGUUCAUUUCAAAUAAUAUUUCAUAAUGCAAAACCCUGGGUUUGCCUUCUCACUGCCCAUCAGAUUCUAAGUGCAUUCUUGUAAAUACUAUCUUGCUGUGCGAGAGACAAUAGAUUAACCAACCUUGGUGUGUUGGUUUAUUCCGACACAACACGUAAGACAACGAAGGCGGAACAAAAGUCCGUGUGAGUUAUGGCGGCCAAUCCCUUUUCUUGCACAAAGCUGCCUGUCAGCUUUUCUAAGAAUCCGGCAUGAGGACAGACUGCUUUUUCUGCACAGUUUUCUAGUUAGUCUCAAGAACCCAAACAGCAGCUCUUUUUCUUCACAUGAAAUUACUAUUUGAGAGAGGUUGGACUGAAACACAAGUGUGCUCUGGAAGGUGACGGUUUAGGUGUCAUCUUUCCAGUUGCCUAGCAACAAACGAAACAGCACAUUUGCAGGUUUUAAUUCACAUCUUAGAACAGCAAAACCCAAGGGCAAAUGAAAAUGGGCUCAGGGCAGUGUAACAUAUUAGCUAGGUCUAGUGUUUAGAACACUCUAAGUCUCAGUGUUGGGGCAGCAUGUAGAGCUUAUGGGGAAAAGUAGCUGUUAAAGAUGAACGAAUAAGCUAAAUGAAGCUGAUUUAUAGCUGUACUUUAUUGGUGUGGUAUGGAUUGCUUUCUCUUUUCCCACUGUUUAGGCAGCAAUAAUUCAUACCUUGAACCAGCAGAGGGCGAAUCGACUGCAUUUUUUGCCCCCCAGACACUCCCUUCCUUCACCCCCACUUCCUCUCAUCCCUUGCCCCGGGGGAAAUUAAUUUACUAGGUUCUUCAAAUAUAGACCAAGGAAGGAAGAUGUGAAGGAGGAAGAGCAGCAGUGCAGAACUCACCAGGACUCCUGCCCUGUCAGCUUUGGAUCGGGGGCUGCUCUCGUGUCCCCUUACUUGGAGCUGCAGAGGGAAUUGCAGGUUUUCCCAGGAGGCAGCAGGGAUAAGAAGCAGCCCACCCUCAGAAGGCAUGGAUAUUUGUGAUUACUAGCUUCAGAGGAUUGGGAGAGUCAGAGGUAACUUGGUUACAACACAGAUAAACCUAUGAAGGUUUGAAAGAGAAAAGAACCAGUACCCUUCUCAGGGCCAGUAAUGGCUCAGUAUGCUGGAACAUGAACAACAACAACAAAAGGCUCUGCUCUUGCUUCCAUACUCUAGGGACAAAAAUGGGGUGGGGGUAGGGAAAGGAAAAGAUGAAAGACUAAGAGUCUGACUGAGUCGGUCUUUAAAACAGAAAAGCCACUCAGGGAGCGAGACAAUGAGAAAAAGCCUGCCAGAACACAGGGCAGAGCAAUAAAGCAUGCUGUACAAAGUUAAUUUAUUGUCAGGCGGAGCCCUCUGCAUUCUGGACAAGCAUACCACUGGCUCCAGAGGGGUGUUUUACCUUGUUUUGUAAGACUUUGCAGAGUCUUCUUGGGCAGGCUGCCAGAAAUCCCAUUAAUUGGACAUGCCCUUUCUCCACAUAUUUAUGUUUCAGUCUCAAACUAGUAAAAUUAAAUUUUUUUCUGGAGACCAUUAAACUAAAUUUUAUGCGGC